GAACUUUGUUAAACAAACUUCAAAUUGGGAAUACCAAAAUGGUAUUAUAUAUGUAUGUAUUAUGAUUUUUGUUGUUGCUAUCUUCGGAUUUCUAUGGUGCAAAUCUAAAACCUAAAAAGAAAAAGGAAAAAAUAAAUUAAAAAGAAAAGGCUUUCUUUCUCUUUCUCUCUCAAUCUCUCUCUGUCGUACAGCUGCUAAUUGUCUGUGUUCUCUGGUUUUGUGUUUCGCCUUCUCCUCUUCCCGGGAAUCGAUACACUCUCAAUAAUCGACGAGGAGGAGGAGGAAGAAAGAACAACAACAUCAACAACGGAGCCACAACUAUCUCACUCCCUAACAACACUCCAACCUCGUUCAAGAACUGGGGAGGUUUUCUUUCUCACCUUCCGGCCACCGCCCAACAUUUACCGAAAAAAGAAAAAAGAAGAAGAAGAAGAAGAGAGAAUGCGGGACCCAGAUAGGAUUAGAGAUGGGUUGAGUGAUGGGCGGCACACGUGGCCAGCUACGUGGUAGUGGUGUGAUGCAAUCAAAGUGUUGGCAUCUGCCAGUCGGCACAAUGAUUGGGAUUAUUCUCCUUUCAUUAUUUUUAAUUUCCCCCAUUUUAAAAUCUAAUAAUCUUUAAUCAAAAUUAUGAAUUUUCAUCUCUUUUCUUUCUUAGUUUACAAUGCCUUCGCCUACAUGGCUGACGUACGCACCGUAACAUCCUUGCUGUCCUUUCCCCAUUGGUUCUACUUAUACUCAUUCUUUAUUUUAAAACACCUUGUAUUAUUAUUUGUACUAUUAUUGGUGAUAUGAUUUAGACAUGGUAACUGAUUUAAUUAUAUACUUUAUAAUUUACCUUC